GGUAAUUCUGGAGCUAAUACAUGCAAAAAAGCUCAAACCGUAAGGAACGAGCGCAUUUAUUAGAAUAAAAACCAAUCGGGUCUAAAAGCCCGCUCUUUGGUGAAUCUGAAUAACUUUGCCGAUCGCACGGUCCUAGUACCGGCGACGUAUCUUUCAAGUGUCUGCCUUAUCAACUUUCGAUGGUAGGUUAUACGCCUACCAUGGUAGUAACGGGUAACGGAGAAUAAGGGUUCGACUCCGGAGAGGGAGCCUGAGAAACGGCUACCACAUCCAAGGAAGGCAGCAGGCGCGCAAAUUACCCACUUCCAGAACGGAGAGGUAGUGACGAAAAAUAACGAGACAGUCCUCUUCGAGGUCUGUCAUCGGAAUGGGUACAAUUUAAAUCCUUUAACGAGGAUCUAUUGGAGGGCAAGUCUGGUGCCAGCAGCCGCGGUAAUUCCAGCUCCAAUAGCGUAUAUUAAAGUUGUUGCGGUUAAAACGCUCGUAGUUGGAUCUGCGGCCUGGGAGAACGGUCCCCCGAAAGGGUGGUAACUGUUACUCUUAGCCUAAAAUUUUAGUCUACUCUACGGUGCCCUUAACCGGGUGCUUAGAGUGACUAGAACGUUUACUUUGAAAAAAUUAGAGUGCUUAAAGCAGGCGAAUUCGCCUGAAUAAGGUGCAUGGAAUAAUGGAAUAGGACCUCGGUUCUAUUUUGUUGGUUUUCGGAGCCCGAGGUAAUGAUUAAGAGGAACAGACGGGGGCAUUCGUAUUCCGGCGCUAGAGGUGAAAUUCUUGGACCGCCGGAAGACGGACGACUGCGAAAGCAUUUGCCAAGAAUGUUUUCAUUAAUCAAGAACGAAAGUUAGAGGUUCGAAGGCGAUCAGAUACCGCCCUAGUUCUAACCGUAAACGAUGACAACCAGCGAUUAGUCGGCGUUAAUAUAUGACCCGACUAGCAGCUUCCGGGAAACCAAAGUUUUUCGUUUCCGGGGGAAGUAUGGUUGCAAAGCUGAAACUUAAAGGAAUUGACGGAAGGGCACCACCAGGAGUGGAGCCUGCGGCUUAAUUUGACUCAACACGGGAAAACUCACCCGGCCCGGACACCGUAAGGAUUGACAGACUGAGAGCUCUUUCUUAAUUCGGUGGGCGGUGGUGCAUGGCCGUUCUUAGUUGGUGGAGCGAUUUGUCUGGUUAAUUCCGAUAACGAACGAGACUCUGGCCUAUUAAAUAGCCGGUAUAUAUUGAAAAGUUUACCGCGCUUCUUAGAGGGACAACCGGCGUCUAGCCGCGUGAAAUAGAGCAAUAACAGGUCUGUGAUGCCCUUAGAUGUCCGGGGCUGCACGCGCGCUACACUGAAAGAAUCAGUAUGCGCUUACGCCUAGUUCGGAAGAACCGGGUAACCCUAGCAAAUUCUUUCGUGCUUGGGAUAGGGAAUUGCAAUUAUUUCCCUUAAACGAGGAAUUCCCAGUAAAUGCGGGUCAUAAGCUCGCGUUGAUUACGUCCCUGCCCUUUGUACACACCGCCCGUCGCUACUACCGAUUGGAUGACUUAGUGAGGUCUUAGGACCGAGGUAAAGGAGCUUUCGUCAGUUCUUUUGCUUUGGAAAUUUGAUCGAACUACGUUAUCUAGAGGAAGUAAAAGUCGUAACAAGGUAGC
rnacentral:rRNA from 1 species